UAGGGAAUCUUCGGCAAUGGACGAAAGUCUGACCGAGCAACGCCGCGUGAGUGAAGAAGGUUUUCGGAUCGUAAAACUCUGUUGGUAGAGAAGAACGUUGGUGAGAGUGGAAAGCUCAUCAAGUGACGGUAACUACCCAGAAAGGGACGGCUAACUACGUGCCAGCAGCCGCGGUAAUACGUAGGUCCCGAGCGUUGUCCGGAUUUAUUGGGCGUAAAGCGAGCGCAGGUGGUUUAUUAAGCCUGGUGUAAAAGGCAGUGGCUCAACCAUUGUAUGCAUUGGAAACUGGUAGACUUGAGUGCAGGAGAGGAGAGUGGAAUUCCAUGUGUAGCGGUGAAAUGCGUAGAUAUAUGGAGGAACACCGGUGGCGAAAGCGGCUCUCUGGCCUGUAACUGACACUGAGGCUCGAAAGCGUGGGGAGCAAACAGGAUUAGAUAGCCCUGGUAGUCCACGCCGUAA
rnacentral:rRNA from 1 species